CAGCACUCAUUCACUGUGGCAUUGUUUCAAUAAGCUUCUGCAACGUUACAAGAUUUAUUUCAAUCCAGUGUUGCUGAAUUAAUUUUUCACCAACAUCUUGCAGCAGCAUUGAUGAUGGUAGAGUCUGACCACUGCACAAAGCAGCUCUUCUACAUCCAGCACAUCCCAAAGAUUCUUAGUGAGGUUAAGGUCUGGACUCUGUGGUGAACUCUCUCAAUCCAUGUGUGAAAAUGAUGAUCUCAUGCUCCCUGAAUCACUCUUUCACAAUUCCAGCCCCAUAAAUCCUGACAUUGUUAUCUUGGAAUACGGCCGUGUCUACUGUGAUUAGAUCAACUACAGUGUCUACUGUUGUUGAUCUAAUCUGAAGCUACAUGAAGUUUGGAGGUGUGUAGUGAUGAACUCUGAAGCUACAUGAAGUUUGGAGGUGUGUAGUGAUGAACUCUGAAGCUACAUGAAGUUUGGAGGUGUGUAGUGAUGAUGAACUCUGAAGCUACAUGAAGUUUGGAGGUGUGUAGUGAUGAACUCUGAAGCUACAUGAAGUUUGGAGGUGUGUAGUGAUGAACUCUGAAGCUACAUGAAGUUUGGAGGUGUGUAGUGAUGAUGAACUCUGAAGCUACAUGAAGUUUGGAGGUGUGUAGUGAUGAACUCUGAAGCUACAUGAAGUUUGGAGGUGUGUAGUGAUGAACUCUGAAGCUACAUGACGUUUGGAGGUGUGUAGUGAUGAACUCUGAAGCUACAUGAAGUUUGGAGGUGUGUAGUGAUGAUGAACUCUGAAGCUACAUGACAUUUGGAGGUGUGUAGUGAUGAACUCUGAAGCUACAUGAAGUUUGGAGGUGUGUAGUGAUGAUGAACUCUGAAGCUACAUGAAGUUUGGAGGUGUGUAGUGAUGAACUCUGAAGCUACAUGAAGUUUGGAGGAGUGUAGUGAUGAUCUAAUCUGAAGCUACAUGAAGUUUGGAGGUGUGUAGUGAUGAACUCUGAAGCUACAUGAAGUUUGGAGGUGUGUAGUGAUGAACUUUAAAGCUACAUGAAGUUUUGAGGUGUGUAGUGAUGAACUUUAAAGCUACAUGAAGUUUGGAGGUGUGUAGUGAUGAUGAACUCUGAAGCUACAUGAAGUUUGGAGGUGUGUAGUGAUGAACUCUGAAGCUACAUGAAGUUUGGAGGUGUGUAGUGAUGAUCUCUGAAGCUACAUGAAGUUUGGAGGUGUGUAGUGAUGAUCUCUGAAGCUACAUGAAGUUUGGAGGUGUGUAGUGAUGAUCUAAUCUGAAGCUACAUGAAGUUUGGAGGUGUAUAGUGAUGAUCUAAUCUGAAGUUACAUGAAGUUUGGAGAUGUGUAGUGAUGAUGAACUCUGAAUCUAUAUGAAGUUUGGAGGUGUGUAGUGAUGAACUCUGAAGCUACAUGAAGUUUGGAGGUGUGUAGUGAUGAACUCUGAAGCUACAUGAAGUUUGGAGGUGUGUAGUGAUGAACUUUAAAGCUACAUGAAGUUUGGAGGAGUGUAGUGAUGAACUUGGCAUGUUCUCCUCCACCAGUCUUACACACUGCUUUUGGAUAACUUUAUACCUAUCCUGGUGCAAAAAAUCAG